rnacentral:rRNA from 1 species
UUGAAAAGAACUUUGAAGAGAGAGUUCAAGAGUACGUGAAACCGUUCAGGGGUAAACCUGAGAAACCCGAAAGAUCGAGUGGGGAGAUUCAUCGUCAGCGAAGUCGGAUCCCCGUUGGGAUCGCGAUGCGGGUGACCCGGGCCCUCGUGGUACCCACGGUCCCUCGGCACGCGUCCCUCGGGGAACGUCCGGCGGCGUCGGCGCGCACUUCUCCCCUGGUAGGACGUCGCGACCCGUCGGGUGUCGGUCUACGGCUCGGGCGGUUGCCUGUCCCGUCGCUUCGGUGCACGGGACAGACCCCCGGUGUCCCGGCCGGCUGCUCGGCGGUACUCGUACGGUAUUGGGCCGCAAAAAUGUUGAACUGCGUCGCAGGGCCCGCCGCAAGCGCGGUCAGUGAACCCGGAUGCGCGGACCAAGCGCCGCCCCCGGACCUGGCCAGCUGUUGGCAGGCGGUGUCCUCGGACAGGCCGAAUGGCGAUACCGGUCGGCGACGCUACUGCUUUGGGUACUUUCAGGACCCGUCUUGAAACACGGACCAAGGAGUCUAACAUGUGCGCGAGUCAUUGGGACCGAGGAAGCCUAAAGGCGAAAUGAAAGUGAAGGUCGGCCCAGCGCCGACCGAGGGAGGAUGGACGGCGUCACGAUGCCGUCCCGCACUCCCGGGGCGUCUCGUUCUCAUUGCGAGAAGAGGCGCACCCAGAGCGUACACGUUGGGACCCGAAAGAUGGUGAACUAUGCCUGGUCAGGACGAAGUCAGGGGAAACCCUGAUGGAGGUCCGUAGCGAUUCUGACGUGCAAAUCGAUCGUCGGAACUGGGUAUAGGGGCGAAAGACUAAUCGAACCAUCUAGUAGCUGGUUCCCUCCGAAGUUUCCCUCAGGAUAGCUGGCACUCGCGUGUUCCCAGGAACCUGUGCGAGUCUCAUCUGGUAA